UUGAAUGAGAGUUCGAUCCUGGCUCAGGAUGAACGCUGGCGGCGUGCCUAACACAUGCAAGUCGAACGGAGUCCAGCCUUUAAGACCUUCGGGUCAAAGAGGGGAAGACUGAGUGGCGGACGGGUGAGUAACACGUGGGCAACCUGGCUCAUAGAGGGGGAUAACAGAGAGAAAUUUCUGCUAAUACCGCAUAAGCACACACUGCCGCAUGGCAGAGGGUGAAAAGAGAAUCGCUAUGAGAUGGACCCGCGUCUGAUUAGCCAGUUGGCAGGGUAAGAGCCUACCAAAGCGACGAUCAGUAGCCGAUCUGAGAGGAUGAACGGCCACAUUGGGACUGAGACACGGCCCAAACUCCUACGGGAGGCAGCAGUGGGGGAUAUUGCACAAUGGGGGGAACCCUGAUGCAGCGACGCCGCGUGAGUGAAGAAGUAUUUCGGUAUGUAAAGCUCUAUCAGCAGGGAAGAUAAUGACAGUACCUGAAUAAGAAGCCCCGGCUAACUACGUGCCAGCAGCCGCGGUAAUACGUAGGGG
rnacentral:ncRNA from 1 species